AGUUGUUCAUAUGGAUAAAACUUCAGAAGUGUAAUGCUACAAUCUUGUUAGUAGUUCUUCAAUAUGGAUAAAACUUCACUGCAAUAAGUCUAUUUAUAAUCAUGCAUGAAUUUAAUAAGAAUCAUAUCCAAAGGUAAAACAAGCAAGGUUUGAGAUAAAUAAAUUUAGAGCUAUAGUAAUUCCAGCAUUCAAGUAUCUACUCUAUUAGUAUCUUAUGAGAAGGAAGUUGAGAGAGAAACUGCAAAAACUGCUGACGUGAAGGAGAAGGGUGCUGACCCUUAUGAUCUCAAGCAGCAGGUAUCUAAUUUCAAUUUAAGCUACAAAAAUAAGGGAAUUUGUAAAUUCUAAAUUCUAACUGCAUAAGCUCAUUUUCAGUUAUGUCUUUGUCUACAAUUCUUUUUGACUCAGUUGCAUAUAAGAGUCCUUUUAGUAGAGACAUGGAUUCAAAUAAGCAUUGCCAGUAAACUGUGAUAUCAUUCAAUUUUUCACUUAGCUUUCAAGAUUUUUUGUUGUCUACUUAUCAAGGAUGAAUUCAUAAAAUUUUCUUUCACACCUUGGUGUUGCUUUUAAAUGUUUAGGGCAUCAACUUUAUUUAUUGGAGUUUAUGAACCUAUGAAGCAGAAACUGUUGAGGAUGUUUUCUGAAAACCUGAGUGCUUUUGCUCAUCUGACAAUUAAAGCUAUGGAACCAUUUUUCACUGUUGUUCUUUCCUCCCUCUUCCUUGGUGAGGUAAUGUUCAAGCACUUUCAAUUUUUCAUGCACUUUCUUACUUGAUCAUGUAAGACUCAAUUGGUUAUAUUUUUGGCUUGAGAUUAGGAUACAAAUUUUUGUCUCUCUGACGAAACACUCCUUUCUAAUGGACAUACCUAAUUUCAAUUGCUUAGUUUGAUAUUUGUCAUCCCCAUAUGAUUUGGUUUUUCAUGGAUGUAAAGUCUUAUAUUUGAUCGGCAGCAAUACAAUGUAAUAGUUGCAUUUAGCUAAUCUCCAGUUUGAUCCUUAAAUGAAUAGACGCCGACUUUUGCAGUAGUUUCUUCUCUUGUACCGAUAGUAGGAGUAGCACUGGCAUCAAUGACUGAAGUCUCCUUCAAUUGUUUGAAGAAUCGUUGGUGGAGCUGCUACAAAAUCUCGCAGACAUAUAUAUUACAUUCCAAGGUUGAAGAUUAACAAUCAGCACAAUGUUGAUGAGUAAGCACUUGUUGUGAAUUGAUGAUCCCUUUUGCACGGUCUUCACUGAACCAUGAUGAUGUAUUCAUCCUAGACUCACAGAAUAAGAUUUAUCAAUUCAAUGGAGCUAAUUCAAAUAUUCAGGAAAGAGCCAAGGCUUUGGAAGUUAUCCAGUAUGUGAAGGAAAAGUAUCAUGAAGGGAAGUGUAAUGUUGCCAUUGUUGGUAAGGGCACAUAGUACAUGUUUCCAUGUCACUUUCCAAAAACCCUAUUAUAAUUUUGUAUUUUUAUUUGUUUAUGACAAUAAAAACGUGUUUCAUGAUGGAAAGUUGGACACUGAGUCAGACAGGUGAAUUUUGGGUUAUCUUUGGUGGUUUUGCUCCAGUUCGAAAGAAAGUAGUUAGUGAUGAUGAUAUCAUUCCUUAGACAACUCCUGCACAACUCUUUAGUCACGGGAUAGAUUGAAUGGGCUGAAUCAAGGAGGGCCAAGACAAAGAGCAGAAGCUUUGGCUGCUUUGAACUCUGCAUUUAAAUCAUCAUCCGGAACCAAAAGUUCUAGCCCUAAGACAACUGGAAGAAGUCAAGGAUCACAAAGAGCAGCAGCAGUAGCUGCUCUCUCUCAAGUUCUUACUGCUGAGAAGAAGAAACAAUCACCUUAUUCUUCUCCUGUGGCAACCAGAAGUCCUGUUGUAGAAACUAGCACUUCCGGUGAGAAAUAUAGCUCUUAUUGUCCAAGUUAAAUGUGUCACAAAAGAAAGAUUAGCUAUUAUGAGAAGGUUAGAGCGUCAAGUAGUUCUAGUGCAGUUCCACUACCACCGCCACCGCCGCCACCCUCAAUGUCUUCGGAUGAGGGCUAUGAUGAUGAUGAGGAUGAAGAUGACACUGAAGACUAUAGCUGAUAGUUUUAGUAUGGUUGAACAAUAUACUAGGAAUUAUAGUUGAUGAUCAAUACAUUUUGUUUAUGUUUUGAAUUAUAUUGACUUUGCUUGUUUAUAAUACUUUUCUUUUAGUUUGAUAAUACGAUGAAUUUG